GUCCCCCCCCCAGUGUUUCAGCCAUAUAUGUUUAUGUUUAGUUCUUAAAUGUUUAUGGUUCUUAUAGUAGUUCUUAUAUAGUUUUAGUUUUUAUAUAUUUAUGGGUCUUAGUGACGCAGAAGGACAACUAACUGUCUUGGUGUGAACAUUUUAUUUUUCCCCCCCCAAAAAAUGUCGGCCCCCAGCCUGCCGCUGCACACUCUUCAGAAGCAAUUUCUGGAAGGCUUGACCAGGUUCGCGUUAGAGUUCUUCCAAGACGUCGAGAAGGUAGUGACUAUUUACCAAGGGGAGAUGCUCCGAUACCAGGAGGAGAACCGUGGUCUGCGCUCCCUGCUGAAUGACGUCAUCCACCCGGAGAUGAAGGUGCACACUAAAGAUGGUAACAGAUCAACUACAACUGUCAGAGAGCAAGCACCCGAGCAGACCACGCCAGAAUUUGCAGAGCCACUGGCGAAAAUGGCUAAAACGGAACCGACGGAGCAAUCGAGGUUUGAUUCAUCCGAGUCACUGGCUGCCAAACAUGGGCCAAAAGACGUUUUGCAGCCAUCCAUUCAUGUACCCAAGGAGGAGCAAACAGAAAUAUCCGUGUCAUCUGAACUAUUAACAGAUCGGUUGCCUGGUAUACCUUCAGUGGUGCACAUGGAAGUAUCUAAACCAUACACUUUGGCUGAUACACCUCAUGGCUCAGAAACACACAUUUUACAGCCACUGGGCGUAACAAAAGGGCAGCAAAUUGAAUAUGAUAGACACUUGGCACCAGAAGGAGAAAGCAGAAGUGACAAUGGACUCACUGUAGAGUGUUUUAAAAGUGAGGAUGAUGAAGACACUGGAAGACUUGACAUCACUACCUCGUUACAAGAUAUGGCUUUUGGAAACUUCCACACUGCCACAGAAUGCCCUGGUCUUAGCAGCUGGGAAGACAUCUUUAACAAAGACCUGGGAUCUCUGGAGCCUCCAAAAACCUCUUAUAAAAAGAACAUGUUGCUGCGUGUUGUGUUUAGCGGGGUACAGAAGUAUCUCAGCAUGUGUGAGCCAACAUUCGAUGCCUUCCUGGAAGAAGUGAGCCUAAAGUUCCACAUACCACACAGCCAACAGUCAGAUUUGAAGGUGUAUAACCCGCCUGACACGGAAGUUGACGCGGCCGUCUUUGAAGAAGUCGUGAAGAAGUCAACUGGAACCUUCAGAGUCAUGCUGAGCAAUGAAGAACUUGUCACUCUGAACUUUACCAUGUGUGACACUGGGAAAGAAGCUGCCAGAAGAAGUCCACCUCAAAGGCCAAGUCAUGAUGCAAAAGCGUUGAUUGAGAACAUCCUAAUGACAAAGCCCGGUGGUGAACGCGUCAUGAAAGAGUACGCAAAAACCAAAUCCCUGACCGAUGCGACCAGGAGACAGAUGAUAAACAUCCUUGCUGCUGAGAUGACAAAAGCACACGGGACGUCUCCUCCUAAAAGUGUGAGAGUGAUGUAUGCACGGGGGAUUGUUGCUCUCUUUCCAUAUCUGGAAGACCCAUAUUCCAAACAUGGAUAUCUGAAACAAGCAAAUAUCUCCUGUCUGAUAUUUGAAAACAUAUCCAAAAGAUCCAACCAUUCCGUAAGCAUCCAAGCACCAUUUCUCACGCAAAGACUCGGUUGGAGGAAUUUGAGUGCGUUUCAAAAAAACUCUACUUUUGCGAGGAGCGGCCAGGAACAUUACUACGAUCCAGAGAGUGGAUCAGGAUACCUGGCGUGGCGGUUGAAGACCAUUCAAAGAAAAACUGCAGAGGGAAGAAGUGUCUCGGUUGAGAAAACUCCCAAAAAUGGUGGGCCGGGCAAAGAUCGGUCAAGACUCUUCACCAUGGACACGGUCCUGCCAUACCAGGAAGUGGAAGCAGCUGUGGAGGUUCUAAAGCACACUUCUGAUGAAGGCACUAUUCGCGAAAAGAUGAAAGCCACCUUCAUUUAUCGUCGUUCAAUGGUGAAAGACGACAAGAAGUCCGCAGAGGUCUUCUCAGUCUUCCCGCGGUAUCUGGACACACCAGGACUGAUUGAACAAGACUUCCGACUCCUGUUUGGCGAGGUCACCGCCAACAAACUCUUGGAGACGUGGUCCAACGGUCUCAAAGCAAAAAUUGUGAGGGAAAGCCAUGGACUGGUACCCACCACAGAGGUUUUGGAGUUGAUGUGCAAUGCCAAGUCAGGCGCUGACACGGAGAAUGGCUGGGACAGUGACAUGUCUGCUGUCUUGCUGCUGCUACAUCUCCUGCCACCAUCUGCACAAGGACGCAAGAGACCAGGAAAGAUGUCUGCAUCCCAAGCGGCUGAUAACCUCGUCAAAUUCCUCAAGGAAUGCAGCAGUCCACAGCAGCAUCUGGACUACACCACCCACACCUGUCAGCCAUACCUUCUAGUCCAGGGACCGACCAGGAGCAGAAUCCAGUCUGCCUUCAUCGUGAUGGACAACCACGCUCUGCCAUCCAAGGCUGCGGGUUCAUUAGCAGCUCUCGAUGAGCUCUUUAAGGCCUACUAUGUCUUUGGCAGGUCCUACACUUCUUCCCUCACCAACUUCUGGACUUUUCUGCAAACCACCAUUUAUAACAUUGACGUGGGGGAAACCAAGGAGAGUCCCCGGGUUGCAGAACUGCGAGCAAGAAUGAUGCGCUAGUAUCGCAGCCAAGAAUGAUGCGCUAGUAUCGCAGCCAAUAAUGAUGCGCUAGUAGCGCAGUCAAGAAUGAUGCGCUAGUAUCACAGCCUAGAAUGAUGCCCUAGUAUCGCAGCCUGGAAUGAUGCGCUAGUAUCACAGCCAAGAAUGAUGCGCUAGUAUCGCAGCCACGAAUGAUGCGCUAGCUAAGAAUGAUGCGCUAGUAUCGCAGCCACGAAUGAUGCGCUAGUAUCGCAGUCAAGAAUGAUGCGCUAGUAUCGCAGUUAAGAAUUAUGCGCUAGUAUCGCAGCCACGAAUGAUGCGCUAGUAUCGCAGCCAUGACACCUUUUCUUGGUCCAAGUCUCCUUUCACUGGCCGCCCAGUUCUGUUUGAAACGUGGGGAGACUUUCAAUGUCUGGAGACAAAUUCAACAUAGUCCAAAGACUGGAGCGCUCCUGGACCAAAGAGGUUUCAACACGGUGGUGUGUUGUCAGCCUCGUGUUCCAUCCCUGCUGGGAAUAUUUCUUCAUUUAUGUUUGUUAAUGAUCUUAACUUUGUUUACCUCCAAAUAACUCUGAAUUAUAAUCUUUAUGCACCGCACCAUUUGUUUCCAUUCUUGGGGGUAACUCUCCCACUCACAGUCAAUUGUCCAUUUAAAAUCAAUACUUUUUAACAACACUAAGUGCCAGUUCUGUGAUGAACUACAUUCCUCCAUAAAAUAGAUAAACAGCUCUGAUACAUUUCUAUGUGUAGUAGACCUAAGAGUUCAUUAUGUACCACCAUAAUGACAACAUUAAAAUACAGUAGUGUAGUAGGCCUAAGUAUUCAUUAAGUACCACCAUAAUGACAACAUUAACAUACAGUAGUAUAGUAGACCUAAGUAUUCAUUAAGUACCACCAUAAUGACAACAUUAAAAUACAGUAGUGUAGUAGACCUAAGUAUUCAUUAAGUACCACCACAAUGACAACAUUUAAAUACAGUAGUGUAAUAGACCUAAAUAAAAGUGUAAAAAAAAAUGACAAAGUGGAAAAACCAACAUAAAGGCAAGUAGAGUGAUGAUAAACAAACCAUAUGGAAGUGGUUUAGAGUUUCUAGGUCACAUAAAUAAAAACCUCUUGAUAAGUUGAUUGGCAACACUAAAUUGGCCCUAGUGUGUGGAUGUGAGUGUGAAUGUUGUCUGUCUAUCUGUGUUGGCCCUGCGAUGAGGUGGUGACUUGUCCAGGGUGUACCCCGCCUUCCGCCCGAUUGUAGCUGAGAUAGGCUCCAGCGCCCCCCGCGACCCCAAAGGGAAUAAGCGGUAGAAAAUGGAUGGAUGGAUGGAUGAUUAAAAAUGUCAAAAAUCGUAAGAAAAAAAAAAAAAAGACAAAAUGGAAAAAUCAACAGUUUAGUGAAGAUAAACAAACCAUAUGGAAGUGGUUUAGGGUUUAGCGGUCACAUGACUAAAAAGCUAUUGACAAUUACAAUUUUCAAAAAUGUAAAAAAAUGUUCAAAAAAGAAAAUGACAAAGUGAAAAAACAAAACAAAGCCAAGUAAUGAUGAACUUUUUAAAAAGUGCUUUAUGGUUUCUCGGUCACAUGACUAAAAACCUAUUGACAAUUAACAUUCGAAAAUGUUAUCUUUGUGCCUUGAAUACAGAAUGUUGCCGUCAGUCAGUCAGUCAGUCAGCGACCACGUCAUUCUUGCUUGUAUGUAAAUGUUGCAUAUUAAAAAUAAAGGUUUAUAAAAAUAAAUAAAUAAAAAAUAAUCAACAAGACAGACAUUCAUUUUCCCUCAGUGACCGAUGGGGGCAAAGGUGGCGCACUGCGUGAGAAAUCAGCGAGAGCAGCAGCAGCAGCAGAAGAAGAAAGGACUUAGUAGCGACCAAUCAAAUGAGCUCCGGGGAGCAAAGGGGCGUGGUCAUCCCUGCCCUGUGCUCGGCUUUCUAAACUCCCCUCCCGCGGCAGGUAAUAGAAAAUAAAUGUGUUUGUGCGUCCAUAAUAUACUUAAUUUACUAAAUAUACUUCACCUCGGUGGAAGACCAAAAACUGAAAUGUCCACGCUGGUCGCAGCUCGGGCAAGAUCCUCUGACGAGCCCUCCCCCCUUUUUUUAACCGCAGGAACUUACCUGCGGGAUGAAAAAACCCUCACCGAAAACUGAAUAAAGUUCCAGAGGAAGGCCCUUCAGAAGCGACUUAUGAAAGACAUGACUGCGCCGAUAGUCAAGUUCUUCCAAGGCGUGGAGGGUUACCAGGGUGAGGUCAUCCGCCGUUACCAAGAGGAGAACCGCCGUUACCAAGAGAAGAAC